rnacentral:rRNA from 1 species
UACGGAGGGUGCAAGCGUUGUUCGGAAUCAUUGGGCGUAAAGCGCGUGUAGGCGGCUUGGCAAGUCAGUUGUGAAAGCCCGGGGCCCAACCCCCGGAACUGCAUCUGAAACUGCUUGGCUGGAGUCCCGGAGAGGAAGGCAGAAUUCCCGGUGUAGGGGUGAAAUCCGUAGAUAUCGGGAGGAAUACCAGCGGCGAAGGCGGCCUUCUGGACGGUGACUGACGCUGAGACGCGAAAGCGUGGGGAGCAAACAGG